rnacentral:rRNA from 1 species
AGUGAACGCUGGCGGUAGGCCUAACACAUGCAAGUCGAACGGCAGCACAGUAAGAGCUUGCUCUUACGGGUGGCGAGUGGCGGACGGGUGAGGAAUACAUCGGAAUCUACUUUUUCGUGGGGGAUAACGUAGGGAAACUUACGCUAAUACCGCAUACGACCUACGGGUGAAAGCAGGGGAUCUUCGGACCUUGCGCGAUUGAAUGAGCCGAUGUCGGAUUAGCUAGUUGGCGGGGUAAAGGCCCACCAAGGCGACGAUCCGUAGCUGGUCUGAGAGGAUGAUCAGCCACACUGGAACUGAGACACGGUCCAGACUCCUAAGGGAGGCAGCAGUGGGGAAUAUUGGACCAUGGGCGCAAGCCUGAUCCAGCCAUACCGCGUGGGUGAAGAAGGCCUUCGGGUUGUAAAGCCCUUUUGUUGGGAAAGAAAAGCAGCAGGUUAAUACCCCGCUGUUCUGACGGUACCCAAAGAAUAAGCACCGGCUAACUUCGUG